rnacentral:pre_miRNA from 1 species
GUGGUAGAGGGGAGGUCCCUUAGCCCAGAUUGCCAGAGGGUGCAAGCCAGGCCAAGGGACCCCACCAGUGCAGG